UGGGGAAUAUUGCGCAAUGGGCGCAAGCCUGAUGCAGCCAUGCCGCGUGUGUGAAGAAGGCCUUCGGGUUGUAAAGCACUUUCAGCGAGGAGGAAGGUGGUGAACUUAAUACGUUCAUCAAUUGACGUUACUCGCAGAAGAAGCACCGGCUAACUCCGUGCCAGCAGCCGCGGUAAUACGGAGGGUGCAAGCGUUAAUCGGAAUUACUGGGCGUAAAGCGCACGCAGGCGGUUUGUUAAGUCAGAUGUGAAAUCCCCGGGCUCAACCUGGGAACUGCAUUUGAAACUGGCAAGCUAGAGUCUCGUAGAGGGGGGUAGAAUUCCAGGUGUAGCGGUGAAAUGCGUAGAGAUCUGGAGGAAUACCGGUGGCGAAGGCGGCCCCCUGGACGAAGACUGACGCUCAGGUGCGAAAGCGUGGGGCAGCAAACAGGAUUAGAUACCCUGGUAGUCCACGCUGUAAAACGAUGUCGAUUUGGAGGUUGUGCCCUUGAGGCGUGGCUUCCGGAGCUAACGCGUUAAAUCGACCGCCUGGGGAGUACGGCCGCAAGGUUAAAACUCAAAUGAAUUGACGGGGUCAUAGCUG
rnacentral:rRNA from 1 species